UACGUAGGAGGCGAGCGUUGUCCGGAGUUACUGGGCGUAAAGGGUGCGCAGGCGGCGGUUCGCGUGGCGAGAUGAAAUCUCCUGGCUUACCUGGGAGGAUGGUCGCCAGACGGGAUCGCUUGAGGGUCGGAGAGGGGCGUGGAAUUCCGGGUGGAGCGGUGAAAUGCGUAGAUAUCUGGAGGAACACCUAUGGCGAAAGCAGGCUUCUGGGCUAUCACUGACGCUGAUCUGCGAAAGCUAGGGGAGCAAACAGG
rnacentral:rRNA from 1 species